GAUGAACGCUAGCUACAGGCUUAACACAUGCAAGUCGAGGGGUAACGAGAGGGAAGCUUGCUUUCCUUGUCGACGACCGGCGCACGGGUGAGUAACGCGUAUCCAACCUGCCCCCAACUAAGGAAUAACCUUGCGAAAGUAAGACUAAUACCCUAUAAUUUCAUCAGAUGACAUCUGACGAGGAAUAAAGAUUUAUCGGUUGUGGAUGGGGAUGCGUCUGAUUAGCUUGUUGGCGGGGUAACGGCCCACCAAGGCAACGAUCAGUAGGGGUUCUGAGAGGAAGGUCCCCCACAUUGGAACUGAGACACGGUCCAAACUCCUACGGGAGGCAGCAGUGAGGAAUAUUGGUCAAUGGGCGGAAGCCUGAACCAGCCAAGUAGCGUGCAGGAUGACGGCCCUAUGGGUUGUAAACUGCUUUUAUACAGGAAUAAAGUUAGCCACGUGUGGUUAUUUGUAGGUACUGUAUGAAUAAGGACCGGCUAAUUCCGUGCCAGCAGCCGCCGUAAAAC
rnacentral:rRNA from 1 species